rnacentral:lncRNA from 1 species
GGCAUGAUUUCAUUUUUAAUGACUGAGUAGUAUUCCACUGUAUAUGUACCACAUCUUCUUUAUCCAUUCCUCUGUUAGACAUUUAGGUUACUUCCAUAUCUGGGUGAUUGUCAACAGUGCUUUUGUGAACACAGGGAUGCACAUUAUCAUUUCAAAAGAGAGUUGUCUUGGAUAGAUGCCCCAGGAUUGGGAUAGCUGAAUCUUAUGGUGACUCUAGUUUUUAGUUUAUUCUGUCCUCCUUACGUCAUGGCUGUGAAUUGUAGCCACGUUCUAAGGAUCGACUUUACUAUUUGCUCACGGAAAGCUUUCUCACUUUCUUUGACUCUACCCAGUCCGCAUUGAGGUCAAGAAUAAAUCUUCCCACUUGACUUUGUCUUGCAAGUACAUUGCACCUCAUUUGCCCAACGGAAACUCUCCUGAAGGGUAGAUAGCAAUUUCCUUUCAUCUCUGAAGUGUGUGUUCCUAACAUGUUCUAAAUCUUGGCAUCAACCUGUGACAGUGGUACCCUGUUCGAACCCUCAGCCUGUUGAAACACCAUCCCAUGAACGUGUUCCCACAUAGUCCAGUGUCAAACGGGGGACAGCCACAGCCACGCUCAGAAAUACAACCAUGCUUUAAAACCCAUCCACUAAACCUUCAGAAACCGGUCCGUCACACAGCCCGUAUCUUUCAGAAGGUCCUAUGCCACUCUGUUAAUUUCUCCCAGAUCCUAACGUUGGCUAAAUAAGGUCUUCCUUCCCCAAAGGUCCAGGCAUGAACCCCUGAACUCAUGGAUAGGUCACCUGAUGGGGCAAAAAGGACUUGGCAGGUGUGAUUCAAGGAAGGCUCUGGGGAUGGGAGAUGGUCCUGGAUUACCUGUGUGGUCUGGACAAGGGUCCUUGUAUGAGAGAAGCAGGAUGGUGGAGUCAGAGAAGAUGGGAUGGUAAAAGUUGAGGGGUGGGGGCCGAUUAAUUAGAAGAGUGUGUUCCCCUGAUUUUGAAAACGGAGGAAGGAGCCGUCAGCCACACAGGCAGAGGGUCCCCUGGAGCUGGAGAGGACAACAGGACCCGUUCUUCCUGGAGCCUCAGAAGGAGCACAGCCUGGCAGACCCAUUUCUAAGUCUGACCUCCAGCAGACACGGGCGGGUGGUAUGGGGACAGGGGAUCAGGCGACAGACUGCUGUACUGUGGGGUGAGCAUUUGGCUUGUUUGGGAGGGCACGUCGAGAGGAUAGGACUGGUCCACCAGAAGCCGGAGUUUCUGGCUCACAGAUUCCAUUGGCCCCGUCUCUCCCCUGUUCCGAUGUGGGUGAUCCUGUGACAUUCUGAGCAGAAACUGGCAGCUGAUCCCCGAUGCCCAUUCCCAGUUGAAUUCAAAAUGCUCAUUUUUUCUUUUUUCCUUUUUACCAAACUUUUCUUAACACAUUUUUUCUUAAAGUUUAGUUCAUUUACAAUAUUGUGGUAGUGUCUGCUGUACAGCAAAGGGACCCAGUCAUACAUUUAUAUACAUUCUUUCCUCAUACUAUCUUCCAUCCUGGUCUGUCCCAAAAGACUGGACAGAGUCCCCUGUGCUGGACAGCAGGACCUCAUGGCUGAUCCAUUCUCAGUGUCGGGUUUGCAUCUACGGACCCCAAACUCCCCGUCCAUCCCAUGCCCUCCUCCUUCCCCUUGGCAACCACAAGCCUGUUCUCCAUGUCUGUGAGUCUGUUUCUGUGCUGAAGAUAGGUUCAUUUGUGCCAUAUUUUGGAUUCCACAUAGAAGUGAUAUCCUGUGGGAUUUGUUUUUUCUCUGUCUGACCUGUUCAUUUAGUAUGAGAAUCUCUAGUUGCAUCCAUGUUGCUGCAAAUGGCAUUACGUCGUUCUUUUUUAUGACCAAGUAGUAUUCCAUUGUGCAUAUGGACCACAUCUUAAUGCAUUGAUCUGUCUAUGUACAUUUAGGUUGUUGCCAUUUCUUCGCUAUUGUUUUUUGUUUUGUUUUUUUUUUUUUUUCCUUUUGAAGGUAGUGAUAAUGUCCCUGGCUUAAUGUUCAAACCAUAUCUGCUAGACUCUCAUUCAGCUGGGUGAGGCCAUGUGACUAGGUUCAUAGGAUUUCAGUAGAUGCUUUGUGGGGCAUUUAGGAAGGCUGCCAAGAAUGAGCUCAUUCAGUUGGAUGUAGGCCCUUUGGUUCCUCACUGCUCCUCCAUUCCUGCUUCCAGGGAUAUAGACAUGAUGGCUGGAGGUCCAGCAUCCACAUUGGGCCCUGAGGCAACCUUGAGGAUGAAAGUCACGUGUUGAGAUGUUAGAGCAGAAAGAUCAAAGCAGCCUAGAUUCCUGAGCAUCUUGGAGCCACCACAGUGAUCUUGACCCUUGUUCUAAAUGGUCUGGAGUUUUGGGGGUUAUUGGUUUUACGUUUGCUCUCUCUGAGCCUGCCACUCAUCUGCUGUUCAUUCUUGUAAGGAAGAUGCUUGGUGCAUCUCACAGAAGCAUCUGACUGUCACCAAGCCCUGACCACAUUCUAAACAUCUUCCAUGGUGAUUUCGGUUUUAUACCCACUCUGCCUCUCUCGUUGAGAUGAAGCUGCUGGCAUGAGCCUAUAAUUAUGUGAGGUGAGCACACAUUUCUAUAAUUUAACCCAGGAUGGAAUUAUGUCAUUAUCCAUUUAUUGGUGCCCUGUGGUCAAACCGGGAGCAGAUGACUGUGAGUGGACCCUGGGAGGAUCAGACAUCUGUGUGCGAGCCCUUUUGGGGUGAAGUUCGUAGGGCAAUAAAAGGAGAGAGAGACCCCCUUCUUCUCCCCAGAGCACCACCCCCUUGGUGUAGGCUGAGCCCAGAGGGCAUGAGAAAAUGAGCCCGUUUCCAACUUCCUGGAGAAUGUGCCCUCCAUGCCCGUCAGGGAUCCUUGUAGAGCAAGUUCCUGUGCCGUGAAAAGCACAAGGCACCCGCUCUGUCACCUCUCCAGAUGUGUGCCUCCCAGCCUCUGCUUUAUGUCGUCUGUUCUUCAUCUGUGAUCAGAAAAUGAGCCGUGAAAAAACUCAACAGCCCGAUUGGGAACCCACGUAAGUUUCCUGUGACCACGGGCCGUCAGGCGGAGCUGGGCUUUUUGGCAAAGCCGCGCCUUUGUAAGGGUCUCGUGUUUUGCGUGCAAGCCUCCAUCCAGAGGCUGGUUCCUGAUCUGCACGGAAUCCAAGGACAGUGACGCUUCCUCUGCGAAGGGCGACAACGGCCUUCCUCCACUCUGAAGCUGGGGCCGAAUGACAAAGGUGGGAGCCCCGAGGAACAUUUGCCAAGUUCUAGAAGUCAGGCUUUUUUUUUUUUUUUCUGGUCUUUCCUGGAUUUCUCCUUGGGGAACACUGACCCACAGAACUUUUUGUGCGAUGAUGGGGUGUGAGGCUGGGAAAAGCAGCCAGAUGUGAACCCUGAAUUGAGUGGUAAGCCCCAGCUCCCCGAGGAAGGAAGGGGUUUAGGCUGAUACUGGUCUGAGGCUGCGGAAGGCACGUUGCUCCUGGGUGGUCCAGGGGAGGAGAUGUCACCACGGGGCUGACUGCAGCAUGGACCACACGGGAGGCUGCCACACUUUCUCCGGGAUGCUGUGGAUGCUGAAGGCGCCAGGAGGAAAAGCGAGUUGCUGGCAGCUUUUGAGCAACGGGGUUGUGGGGUGAGUUUGAGGGAGUGAAGGGAUGCUGUGAGCCUGGGGGGAUGCGUAGGACUCUGGUCACUUGGGGGCACAGGUGGGGACACGGCGAGUCCCCGUUUCCUGGCCCCUCCUGAAGCCAGGGCUCCCUGGAGGUUGGAUCUGAAGUCGGUGGUGAGGGACACGAGCCGGGCGGAGAAGGGAGGCCAGAGAGGUAGAGACCUUCGGAGGGAGACCUGCCCGCAGUCCCUCGUCCAACAAGCUGGAGUUCGAGCAAGCAGUUCAUGAGGUGUUCUCCGCGUCUCUGUCUCUGUCUGUCUGUCUCUCUCCCUCUGUCUCCGCCACUUCCCUCUCUCUGUCUCUCACACACACACAUGCACACAUACCGCACAAGUCCCGGGGACAAACGAAGAAGCAGCCCUUCCACGCGCUGGCAAAGGAAGACGGCUCAGAAUCUGUCCUGACCGCCCCGCUGCCUUUCCCGGCGGAGUCUGAAACUGUCAGUCCGCUGUCUUGUUCAGACGUUUGAAAAGUGUGGUUGAGGUCAUUGUGUUCAUUUCUGCCCUGCAGCAGGUGAUUCGUAUUUAGGCCCAUUCUUUUUCGUAUCCGAUUCCGUGAUGGUUUAUCGCAGGAGACCGAAGAGAGUUCCCUGUGCUGUACAGCGGGUCUGUGGGGUUCGUCCAUCCUGUGAUAUACAAGGUUGCACCUGCCAACCCCAAACUCCCUGUCCACCCCAUGCCCUCCCCCUCCCCGUUGGCAACCACACAUCUGGGCUCUGCCUCGGAGUCUGUUUCUAUUCUGUGGAUGGGUUCAUCUGUGCCCGUAUUUCAGAUUCCACGUAGAAUGGGUAUCAGAUGAUGUAUGUCUUUCUCUGUCUGACUUACCUCACUCAGUAUCAUCAUCUCUAGGUUCCAUCCGGGUGGCUGCAGGUGGCAUCAUCUCAUUCCUUUUUAUGGCUGAGGAAUGUUCCGUUGUCUCUGUGGACCACAUCUUCUUGAUCCAGUCCUCUGUCGAUGGACAUUUAGGUUGUGUCCAUGUUUUUGGCUGUUGUGAAUAGGGCUGCUGUGACCAUGGGGAUACCUGUAUCUUUUUGAAUUAUGGUUUUCUCUGGAUAGAUGCCCAUGCAGGGGAUUGCUGGGUCCUGUGGCAGAGGAGUUGUUAUCCUGAAGGCAGGAGAAAGGGACCAGGUCAACAAGCUUUGGCGUCUUGACCUUGGGCAUCCUGUGUCUUUGGUGAGUAUGAUCUCAGGGGAGAGGCACCAUCAGACCUAUGUUUGCUGCAGAAAAAGAAAGCUCGAACCAACCCUCCCAGUUGUAUUUACAGGGAAGACACAGGCUGUUUUCCCUCCAGCCUUCUGGAAUGGACAUCACCUUUCUUAAAUAUCCCGAACAAGUUGGCAGAGAACAAAAUCCGACCCCGUGAAGUACCGCUUAAGGAAUAGAACACAUCCACAGCCGGCAUAGCCUGAGUUCUGGUUCAAGCAAAAAAAAAAAAAAAAAAAAAAAAA